rnacentral:lncRNA from 10 species
UUACAGUGAGGCAUAAGAGAUGGCUCGGGGGAGUACAGGGGCCAGGCAGAGCACCCUGGGCACAGCCCUGAGGCUUUCCAAAUGAAAUGAUCCCAAAACUCAGACCUGAAGAAUAAACAGGAGCUAAGAAGCAAAGGAGGGGGAGAUAAACAGGUAUGAAUCAGUGGGUGCUCAGGGUGAGAGGCAAGAGAAGACAUGAAACAGAAUAUGUGAACUAUUAUU